rnacentral:rRNA from 1 species
GAUUGAAUGGCUCAGUGAGGCUUUCGGACUGGCCCAGAGAGGUCGGCAACGACCACUCAGGGCCGGAAAGUUAUCCAAACUCGGUCAUUUAGAGGAAGUAAAAGUCGUAACAAGGUCUCCGUUGGUGAACCAGCGGAGGGAUCAUUA